rnacentral:rRNA from 1 species
UUACGGUCAAAUCACGCUGAAACACCGGUUCUCGUACGAUCACCGUAAGUUAAGCAGCGUAGAGCCAGGUCAGUACUUAGAUGGGGGACCGCUUGGGAACACCUGGUACUGUAAG